rnacentral:rRNA from 1 species
UACACUCCUGCGGGAAGCAGCAGUGGGGAAUAUUGGACAAUGGGCGCAAGCCUGAUCCAGCCAUGCCGCGUGAGUGAUGAAGGCCCUAGGGUUGUAAAGCUCUUUCACCGGUGAAGAUAAUGACGGUAACCGGAGAAGAAGCCCCGGCUAACUUCGUGCCAGCAGCCGCGGUAAUACGAAGGGGGCUAGCGUUGUUCGGAUUUACUGGGCGUAAAGCGCACGUAGGCGGACUAUUAAGUCAGGGGUGAAAUCCCGGGGCUCAACCCCGGAACUGCCUUUGAUACUGGUAGUCUUGAGUUCGAGAGAGGUGAGUGGAAUUCCGAGUGUAGAGGUGAAAUUCGUAGAUAUUCGGAGGAACACCAGUGGCGAAGGCGACUCACUGGCUCGAUACUGACGCUGAGGUGCGAAAGCGUGGGGAGCAAACAGGAUUAGAUACCCGGGUAGUCCCAUGAU